CAGAGCCACCAGAGUUCGGGCAGCCGGAGAUGCAUGUGGACGGAGGGGGUGGGUUGUACAGGGAGAUGGGAACGUUUACUUGCUCGGCGCUAUUGGUGACGAUUCCUUGGUGGAGGCGGAAGGCCUGCUCCUGCGGAUACUUUUGCGAGUGGUUGUUUCUGAGAAGGCACCACUGGAUCUGCGGUGAAGAAAGAUUAUUAUGCAUUGAAUUCGCAUCACUUCUCGGUGCCAGCAGAGGAGCAGAGGGAGACAACGUAAGAAAAAUACCAUCACCACCAUUUUUCUUGAGCAUCGAGAAGAUUGACCAGCAGCAAGGCCUCUCAGAAGGAGGUGCUGAGGUGGAGAUACGAGCAAGAGAGAAGCCAGUCCCUUACCGGUUGGAGAAGGUGUUUCGUGCAAGGUUGAGGACCAGCUCCUCCAGGUGAUGAGACUUGCUAACCGUGUGCAGGACCUGCUCAGCGACUUCAGAGCCCUGAGAAAAGAAGGAACAGAAGGAUGGGAGGGAAACGGAGGCCAGACGGAGGCAGAAAGAUAAAUGUGAGGGACAGGCAACUUUCAGCACUCCAGAUAUUGCUGGACUGCAACUCCCAGUAUCCCCAGCCAUCAUGAAUUGUGGACGGAAGUGCUGGGUUUGUGCGCCUCCCUGGUUGUUGUUGAAGGCUAGUGCCUGUUUUUUGUGUGUAGUUCUGCCUCUCUCAUAUAUGUUUUAGUUUCUUAAUAAAGCUUUGUUUGUUUUUUGAA